rfam:Spirochaeta africana DSM 8902, complete genome.
GGGCUCGUAGCUCAGUCGGUUAGAGCACUGCUCUGAUAAGGCAGGGGUCACUAGUUCGAGUCUAGUCGGGCCCA